GUGGGGAAUAUUGGACAAUGGGCGAAAGCCUGAUCCAGCCAUGCCGCGUGUGUGAAGAAGGUCUUCGGAUUGUAAAGCACUUUAAGUUGGGAGGAAGGGCAGUAAGUUAAUACCUUGCUGUUUUGACGUUACCGACAGAAUAAGCACCGGCUAACUUCGUGCCAGCAGCCGCGGUAAUACGAAGGGUGCAAGCGUUAAUCGGAAUUACUGGGCGUAAAGCGCGCGUAGGUGGUUCAGCCAGUUGAAGGUGAAAUCCCCGGGCUCAACCUGGGAACUGCCUCCAAAACUACUGAGCUAGAAUACGGUAGAGGGUAGUGGAAUUGCCUGUGUAGCGGUGAAAUGCGUAGAUAUAGGAAGGAACACCAGUGGCGAAGGCGACUACCUGGACUGAUACUGACACUGAGGUGCGAAAGCGUGGGGAGCAAACAGGAUUAGAUACCCCAGUAGUCC
rnacentral:rRNA from 1 species